rnacentral:rRNA from 1 species
GUCUAUGGCCCUACCACUCUGAACAUGCCCUAUCUCAUCUGGAUUUGGAAGCUAAGCAGGGUUGGGCCUAGUUAGUACAUGGAUGGAACACAGAUCUUGAGAAGAUACUGGUCAAGACA